UCUGCAGCUGAUACCAAUUCCCGAUAGGGAAUUUGUCCUCUAGUUUUAUAAGAUGUUCCCAUCGAGAGAAACUGCUUAAAAAAAUACAGGAGAACCCUCUCCUAGGUCCGACUACGGUAUGUAAAUCUACAAUUAUCACAAUGUAAAAAGUUUACAUGUAAACUUACAGGAGAAUUGAAAUUUACCACAAAUCUCCAAUUGAGUCUACUGUGCUCUAGCACACCGAAAUUCUGAGGGUCUAAGCAUGUGUUUGGAGUUCACGGAGUUCCCACUGGGGCUCAGCAGGAUAAGAACCUGACUAGUAUGCAUGAAGAUGUGGGUUCGAUCCUUGGCCUCACUCGGUGGGUUAAGGGCCUGGCGUUGCUGCAAGCUGCGGCUUAGGUGGUAGAUGCGGCUGGGAUCUGGUGUGGCUGUGGCAGGGGCAUAGGCCUGCAGCUGCGGCUCCAACUGAAUCCUUAGCCUGGGAACUUUCAUAUGCUGCACCUGUAGCCAUAAAAAGGAAAAAAAAAUAAUAAUAAUUACAGUUCACAAAACUGCUGGCUUUGAUCCUCUUGUCCCUUCCAACUCAGUAGCCUGGAAACCUCCCAGAGCUCUAUCUUAAGAUCUGUGCUUUUCUGUGGCACUUUCUCCCCUCCUCAUUGUUCUGGGUUCAUUAGAUAAAAUUGUCCCAAACUCCUGAUGAGAGAUGAUCUAUUGUGAGAUAGCUUUGUGAGGCAGAACACAGGAAACCUCAGGGUCUUAUCUCCUGUGAGCCGUCUGUUUUUCCCCAACAGCCCAAUAAAGGAGACUCCUCAGCUGGCGGGGAGUGGUUGGGAAGGCAGACACGGUCCCCAGACCCCUGACCCCACCCUCCACGGCCCUCUCUGUCGCAGACGUCGUAAAAUGUCUCUCUCCUCAUCAUGGAUCAAAGCUGUUUUCAUCAUUUCCUUGGCAGGACCUCUUCAUUCUGGUGAGUAGAUUUUCAUCUGCAGUGAAACAUGUUACAUAUCUUAGAAAGUGCAGGAAAAAGUUCUGUAAUCCAGGAAUGGAGGAGCUUGUGUUUUAUUGGGUUU
rnacentral:lncRNA from 1 species